AAUAGUGAUGGUGUAGACCAAGAGGCGGAAGAAAAUGUUAAAAUACUCCUCACUGAUGAGCUUCUUCAUGUAUGAUUAUUGAAACCAGCGCUUUAUUCUCCCACUCUGACAGAGUUAUCAUACCAGUCAGUUACCUGCUCUUAGCUGAUACCUUUAUUUAUAUACAGGUAGUAAAAAUGAAUUGGUUACUAUACCUAAUGUUAUCUCAAUCUAUACAUUCAGUUACCUCUUUUUUCAGCAGUUUUUUUUUUGCUUGUGUUUUCAAACCUCAGCGUGCGUGUAGGACACUGGUCACAGUCAAGACAGGAGAUCAGCAUAGUCAAGCACAUUAUCAUACUGACAGGAAGAGCUCUGUGGGUUUUAAAACACCCCUAGUGUGUAUGUGUGUCUGUGUGUGACGAGAAAGGGAGUGUAAAGGGUAGGAAAACGAUCUAAGUGCGAAAAAAAAAGUUGAAGAGAUGGGUGGAGACUCAGCACUGCAAAACCGUUAAACAGACAAAAUGCCAUUGCUACGUUUAGAGCAAUUCAAAGGUGAGUAUGACUUAACUAAAGAGCUACAUGCAACAAGUGCCGUUUCAUCAUUUCACUCAGGGAUGGUUACGUAAUGAGUCAAGAAGAGUUGCUGAGGGUAAAUGCUGGAAUUUUUUCCCUUUGCAUAAAUCAGCAAUAAUCUAAAAAGGAUGCAAAACAAAUCUGGGAAUUUUUUUUUUGCUUUUUUUUCAGUAGGAACAAAACUGAUUUAAGUCAUAACAGAAAUAUUUUGUCCACUUAAAAUAUGAUACAGUGUAAGUCAAACACUGAUACUAUAUUCAGGUAAAUAUUUGAUGUUAACACAAAUGCAAUUGCUACUUUAUAAUUAUUGUAUUAUUCAUUUGGUCAAUUAGAUUUGAAUCUUCAAAUGAAUAUUUUAAUAAAGUAACAGUACUGGAGGACACCCGAAAAAUGUUUAAUAUAUUCAGGAUCAUGCAGGUAAAACUAAUCCGAUAUCAAUUUCCCGAUAGAAAGCUUCACCUCAUCAUAAACAAUAUUAAUUCUCUUCUUUAGCUUACAGAAAGGAUAAUUCUUCUCUUUCUCUCUUUCUGCAAAUAAUAUUAAAAUAAUAAAAAUAUUAGGUUUAUCCUCAUUUAUAUAUAUUAUAAUUGUAUAAAUAUGAUUAUAAAAAUAAAAUAAAACAUUAAUAUAACCUAAAAUAGACAUGCAUUCAGACAGUACAGAAAUAUUUCUUUUGGAAAGUUAGUAUGAAUAACUUAAAUAAAUAAAAAAUUGCACUGGAUAAUCGCAUUUGUAGCAAUUAAACAAUGUGAAAAUAAUGAUUUCUAAUUAGGAAAGCUGAACUUCUAAACACUGUUUAGCUUUUCCAGUAACUGUUUGUCAGAUGGGAUAUCCAUUGACUGGCCUGCCUUGCAUCAGUGGGGAUUUCAUCACAUUUGAGGGCGUAGGAUAGAGAGAUUGCUAUCUGUCAAAGAUGAUAUGCAGGAACUGCUUUCUGAGGCUUUCACAGAAAUAAAAGAAGCUCACUUUAGAAGCCUCUUUUACACUGGCCACACUUCACUACACUGCCAUUGAGAGCUCUCGUUUUAUUCACUUCGUCAUUUCAUCUCUCUCUUUCUCUGCUCAUAUUUUUUAAUGUGCCACUUUAACGUGUACUAUAUGAUUUCUUCAUUAAAAGUGACCGAAACAGUAUAUGUUGUCGUCUGUGGAGAUAUCCGAGAUGCGCAAAAGUUACAAACACACACUUGUGAAACUGUUAUUUUCAGAGCGCAGAUGUGAAAACCAUUCUUUUUCUUUAAAAAUAGAAUAAACUUAUAUAAAUGCAGCAACAGACGGCAGGCUACUGAAAUAUAAAGCCGCUAAUAUUUUUUAACUAGGCUAUCUUUCCUAAAAAUGAAGGCCUACAUUAUAGUUUUGAUAGCUAAUUAUGUUUUUAAUAAGUAAUUAUUCAAAUCUUAGCUAAAUAAACUUUUUUGUCUGUAAAAUUUGCGUUUAUUCGUUUCUCAGUUAGAAAGUUUGAUGAAUCAUUUCUCUCAGAUAAAUGUGAGAAGUGUGUUUUUGUCUGUCGCACACGGUGUAUUUUUACACAAUCGCUCAAUACAGUUUCUCGUGUGUUGCACAUAUGACCUGCGCCGUGAGCACUAACAAGUGAACAUGGAACCAAACAAGGGCACAAAAGAGAAGCUCGAGACACACAUGCACCAUCGGAGAAAAAACUGACCGAAAAGAAUUCGUGUAGCCAUAUCUCAGGAGCUGCUGGUGCUGAGUCAUGUUCAGAAGGAGGCCACUCUUAUCUCCUGUCUCCAGGAGGACAUUUCAGGCAGUUGGGUGUGGGGUGAAACGGGAACCCUGGAUGAUGUGGGCUAGUUUUUUUCAGGACAGCCGGUUUUUUGUGUAAUUUAGUGACCCUCUGGAGAGCCAGACAGUUUUCUUCUUCUAAUAUUCUUCUAAUAAACUGGCUGUGACAUUACAGUGGGACAGUGUAACCACCAGAGAAGCAUUAGGGAAUGCUUUUGGUGUAGAGUGACUCAGCAAACUGUGUUCUAGCUCCAGUCAUUAGAACAGAGAGGAGACUGCACAAGCUGGUAGGCUAUGACUGAGAACAUGUGUAGCCUGACAUUUUGGGGAGAAAUUACUAUGAAUGCGUUCUUUUCAGUUUAUAAAUCAGACUGUUAUCUGUUAAACAUUAAUUAAAGAAAUUAAUGUUUUCCAUAAACAAUUAUAAAUGAACAAUUCAAGGAAAAUUUAUUUUUUAUUCAUAUUUUACUCUAAAAAGUAUUACACAUUUCUAUAAGAAUUCUAAAUUCUAAUAUUCUGUAUUCAUAUUUUGUAGAAAGUUUAUUUUUAAAGGCAAGUUCUAAUUGGUUAAUGAGUAGAAACAAUUGGUUAGUGCAGAAAAAAAUUCCACAAAGAAAACUCAGCAGUAAAUUUCACAAUUACAAAUGGCAAGUAAAAAAUAAAUAGAAUAACAUUUUGAAGUAGAUAAAUCAACAUAUUUUUAUAAUGCAAUAUUCUAUAGAAUAAACUAUAUUUAUAAUUCUAUAUAUAUAAUUUAUAAUUUUAGUGCACUUCCCUGAGGUUAUUUAAAUGAUAAAUUUAGAAAUUUAAAAAGAAAUAUAAUUUAUCCAUCUGUUCUUCAAACCACUUUACCUAGGAUUACAGGAUGCUCAGAAUAAAAUAUAGCUUUGAUAAAAUGUUUUGCAUGGAAGCUAAAGUUAUAUUCUGAAGGCGGAAAAACAUAACAGCAGUAAAAUAUAUAAUAAGUUCUAGCUAUACUUUAUGUCAGAAAUACAAUUGUAUUAGCAAUUAUAAUUACUAAUACAAAAUAAUAGUGAAUAAUGUACAUUUCAACAUAUACACAUUUUAAUAUUUAACGUUCUGUAAAUUACCAUUAGUGAUGUAUUAUUAACAAAUAUCAUUUAACAAUGUACAAUAAUAUAUUUAUAAAUGAUCAUUAACCUAGAUUAAUAAACGCUGUAAAACAAUGCAGUAAGCUGUUAUUUCAUGAUUAUGACUAAUAUUUCUAUGCAGUUUAGAUUUGAUAGGCUGAACAUUCGAAACAAGAGCUAAUAAACAAAUUAUCUUAAGUUAUCCGGUAGCAAAGUACUAGAACAGAGACGUCCUCUUAUUGCUUAUUUCAUGGAUCUUUAAGCAGCUUUCACACCCUCUAAUUUAUAACUUUAACUACAUGUAAUCCAUAAUUGGUUUAACUAUCUAAAUAAGUCGGAGAUGUUUGAGAUUGGUAAUCAAGUUAAUAGUCUGCUUUAUUUAAAUUCUUAAUCAGGGGUUGAAAAAAUCUCACUUUCUUUGGGAAUGCAUUAUGCAGGGGGAUGUCAGAGUAAAUUAAAUUCCCCUUUGCACACUAAAGCAUCAAUUUCCUUAUGGUAAUUAUCUGAGGGAAUGGAUGUGUCACUGGAGGGAGUCAGGCAUGCUUGACAUUUAGCCUCUUUAUGUGGAAAUGACACACAAAAAAAAUUAAUCUCUCGGCCGAGUGAGUAUGGCGAAGACCCUAAAGGACUCUCGCUGAAUCAGUUAUUAUGUUUGUGACCCCAUCUCGAAAAUUGAGCCAAUGAUACGAUGUAGACAAGAAAAAGACUAAGCUUAAGGAGCUGAGAAAAGUGGAGAAAAGUAUAGUUAAAAAUGAUCAUGCCUCUAAAUUUUGGAGAAGCUUUUAUUCUGAAUAGUGGAGUUAGCUUGGCUGAAAUAGACGUGCUAAAACUUAGACUGGACAGAGGCUGAAUGUCAUAGGAGGUCAAAGGAGACUCUGUUAAUUGUGAUUUUCUGAUCUCUCUUCAGAAGAGCUAUUUUAGGUUUCUGAAUCUAUUUAUUAGAAAAUGUAAACAUAGCCUAAAUGGAAAAAUUGUCUCUUGCAAAACUGCAUUGAACACUGGAUAGCAGUAAAUCACCAACAAUGUGUAUUCCUUUUUAAGCUAAUUAUUGUUUCAAGGGAAGACUAUUGAUUAAUAAAUACUUAUUUUGGCAUGGUUCCUUGCACAAUUCUGUGAUUUUAAAAUACGUUCACCAUGAACUUUUUAAGAUCACAUAACCAGCUCCAUAUGCAUGGCUUUUCUGAUGUAGUAAAGCGUUGGUCUUGUGGUUCAGAAUGCUUAUAUAUGAGUCACAACACUUUAUAAAUUACUCAAACACUUCUGAAGGCAAGCUCAAAUGGUAGGCUAUGGUAACUCAUCUCAAAGUUAACAGUAUCUGUGUAUGUGGUACAUUCUUUUCAAAUGCAAUUAAGCACAUUAACCUUUUAGCACCACUAAUCUGACAUUUCAUUUCCAAACUGUUAUGAUACAUAUGAUUUUUUUUUUUUUUUUUUGCCAGAUUCAUGUUAAUCUGUUUUAGAGAAAACUGAACACAUUUUAGCGACACUCACUGGACAUUUCACUUUGAAAGUACCACAAUCAACUUUUUUCCCAAUGAUGUUGUAAACAUAGGUUACAUUAAAGUUGAUUAGAUAAAAAUAUAUAUAUAUAUUCAUGACUUUUUAUCUCACAAUUUUGACUUUAUUCCCCUCAGAAUUGUGAGAUCUGAAAAUAUAAUGAGAUAUAAAAUCUGAAUUGUUUAUAUCUUGUAAUUCAGGGCAUAUAUCUUGCAUUUUUCUCAGAAUUGUAAAAAAAAAAAAAAGUUUGAGAUAAAAAAAAAAAUAAACUAAAAAAUCUAAAUUACACACAUAUAUAUUUUUUUCUUUAUGCUGUGGCAGAAACAGCCCUCCAUACAAUUCUAACUGACACUUUUGUAUCAGUACCAACAAAUAAACCCCUGAUGAAACAAAAGCUUUAUUUCUCAUGAUACCAAGUCAUUCAUUUACAUUGAACUUUGAAAUAUGUUAACACUUUUAGAUCCUUUUAUAAGAAAAAAAAAUACAUAAAAAUAAUUACAUCUUAGAACUGGGCUCAGUAAAUUAUAUGCAGUUGAUCAAUGACUUUUGAUUAACUAUAUCUGAUAAAUUACAGAAAACAGUCAAGGUCCAGUCACAUUUAGAAUUUUUCGAGGAAUUUCAUUUGUGAAAUUAAAUAUUUUCAAUAGAAAUCCACAAUAAAAAAUUUUCCCAUGCAGAUUUUGCAACAUAUUCUAGAGGGCUACACGGGUUCGUUUCACUGGCUAACAGAAAGUUUCUUGGUUUGAAAGUGACUUCAUACCUCUCUAUUAUUGACAAUAGACAGCAAAAUUGUGCACCUUUAUAAUGUCUAAUUUAAUAAAUGUAUUAAUUGUUAACUUUACGCUUCACAUCACACUUUACUAUCAAACUGCAGGAAUAGCUUUAAAUCAACGUGUGGUGUGAACCCUAAAGUCCUCAGACAUUACAUGUGCCUGUUUGUAGAUGAAGAUCUCAAUAUGAAAAGAUAAUUAGGAAAAUCUCAGUACAUAAUAGGUUGUUUCAGCAGCUUACAUUUAUUGUGUUGAGCCCGUCUCAUCUCGGAAAGGUUUUCACUUUGUCUUACAUGGUUCAUGGUGAUGUGCUGAAGGUCACCUUAGAGAAAGCACUUCAGACCCUCAAACAAAAGACUAGUCUCAUCCCUUGCAUUGGCCCCAAGAUGGACGUUAGUUAUCAGUUAACCUCAUCUCCAUCUCUGGAAAUACCACAGAGAGGGUUUUAUUCCCACCAUGGCUCAGCUGUCAAACCAACUGACAACACAGUAUGUGUUGCAUUCCCAUAAUGCAAAGCAUAACUUAGAACGACAUCUUAUUUCCUCAACUCCGUGUGUUCGACGUGAGGUUUAUAAUCUGAACACUGUUUAGUACUUUGGUUUGGUUUUGAGCACUUUUCAGUCAUAAGUUGAUUCGUCUAGUAGUUAGUGUUUUCUAGGUGUUUUCUUUAACUGCUGGAUUCAACUGAGCUGCUUCCAGAGCGGACUGUUUUCAACGUAGUGCAAAGACGACAAAGGGGGAAACAGGAAACCAGCAUGUUCCUAUUUCCUGUAAGCAGGUGAAGCUGCACUGGUAUUCUUUCUUUUAUUCUCCAAACCACAGUUCUUGGGGUGCAAAACUAGAGCAUUUCAGACAGAAACGCGUGUCUUUUGUUUUCUUUUAAGAUAACAGGCAAAGUUUUAUUUUCAUUGCUAUUGCUGCAUAACCACAGUGUAGCUCUAAGUUCCACAAGCAGUUUGUACGUGCUAUUUGGAUGAACCGGUAGUCAUAAAAGCAUGCAAAAGAGGAUCUGUGAAAAACUGAUUCACUCAUUUAUCCGCAUGGACACACAUAUAGUCAAAUAGGUAAGCCCACACACAUCCACAGCGAAUGUUUAAGACAAUAGCAUAUAACCUUCACAUUUUCAGAAGCACUCAUCUAAAUCAAGGGAAAUUAAGCUAAUAAAGCAUCUCAUUAUUCAGAGCUCAGAGAAUCAGUCACUGACAUUGCAUCAUUAUAGAUCUAUUCACAAACACAGAUUGGAUUUCAUGAAAAAGGAGACUUUCAUUUCCCACACUUCUUCAUCAUUUAUUCUUCUCUUUAAAGAGCUCUUUUAUGGAAAGUACCGGGGCUUUGGGAUGAAGGUAAGGGUUUCCUGGUGGGACAGUAGUGAUCAUUCCUGACAGAGGAGCCUUGUGUUCGUAGUCAGGGGUGCUCCAGUGGUCAAACACUGGUCAUGUUCAAAUGAAGUGGGAAUGUUCAAAUUGAAGGAAUAUUCUGGAUUCAAUCAACAACACUUGUGGCAUAAACCUGACUACUGAUUACGAAAAAAAAAAAAACAUUUGAAUAUGUAAAUGUUAAAAUCUUCACUGUUUUAGUCACAAAGCCACAAAACUAAAUCAGUAUGUUAAGGUGAAAAGAUGACUUAAGUGAGCAAAAAAUGAUAAAAACUACUUUACAUCUCAAAUAAUACUCAAAUUUGAACAGAAAAAAUAUGUAUGAAUAGAGCAUGAAUAGAGUUUUUCAUUCUUGACGAUUUUAUUUGUGCUAUUUAAAUUGCUUUUGGUUUAGUUUUAGCAGUUUUUUGUUUAUUUUGUAAUAUUGUUUUAUAGUCUGAGUGUUGUUUUACUUUGUUGUGUUUUGUAUGUCGAGUACUGAUGUCUCAUCUUUUAAAGACGUAUCUUCACUACUAGUCGCUCCACUAUUAUGAAAGAAUAAUUCACAAACAGAUAUGAAUUAUGAAAUAAGUUAUUGAUUUGUCUUCAUGCUUAGAUAAUGCUAAGAUAAAGUCUUAAUGUUCAUGCUAUUAAUAGCUUAGUCUAACUUAAAGUCAGACGAUUGGCUUAUUUCAUAUUCUAGCUUGUAGUCACAUGUUUUUAUCUGUCACACUUCUGAUAUAGACUACGUAGAUCAGAAAUUUGAAUAUGAACAUAAAAACAUCCAAGAUCCCCAACAAAUUAACACUAAUCACCAUUGUGGUGACUUCAAGACAGUUAGAGCAGCAGGACACUUUAUGAUGUGAAUUCACAGGUAGACAAGAACAGUAAAUGACUAAGACGUUAGCAGUAUUCUGCUGAUCAUUCAGACAUUUUAACUUAAAAUUCUGAUGUUGAUGGAAAAAGUCUGUAAACUCAUUAUGUCAACUCUGUCUAUUUAUGCUUUUAAAAAGUGGGAGUUUUAUUCAUUUGUGUCUGAUUUUCCAUGAAGCAAGCAAUGUCAGAGUCUGUGUCUUAUGACACUCUCAAGUGACUGAGUGUUGCCAAAGCUGCGGAGGAAUGAAAACGGUUUGGAGACAUUUGAGUUAUCACCAAAUAAGGAGGAGGAGAAAGUUAGAGGAAGUUGUAAAGGUGCUGACUUUCUGCUGGAAGGAAAAGAGAUGGGAGGCCUGUUUUAUCGGCAAAGGAAACAGAUUUCAGAGCACCGGUGACUCCAGGAAAAUGGAUCUGGGUUGAGUAAAAACCACGAUUACCACCGGCAACAAGAGCAGCUCAGCUUUGGAUAGGGCCAUCUGGAGAGGUCUGCUCCAAAAAGACAGUAAACCAGCUCUUCUGGGGCCCAACUAGGAAACACGUUUUCUAAAAAACCACCCGGUCCCUGUGUGAGGAGUUUGGUUUUCCUCCAGUGCUUCUCUCAAACACCUCCUCCUUCUUCUUCCUCUUUACUCGAGCUGCAGAUGCCUCAUUCCUACUCAUUCUGAAAGCCGAGGACGUUUUGCCGUUGCAGAAGGAGGGUGGAAGAGCGCCGCCAGGCUGGUUUUGUUCCCUGUAGUAUCUGUCCGUCUAGACUCUUCAGAAACUCACAGAAAAUACCAAUGCCUCACGAUUUUUCCUGGCUUCUUAACAAAACAAUUGAGAAGUAAAGUAUAUUUUUCCAUUUUCUAUUCUUUAUUCAUUUGGUCUGCUUUAUAAGCAAGAUCAUGUUGGGUUCUACUAAGACACUGUUCACACACCUCCAGUCAGAGCCACACUCUGCAGAGCGUUGAAGAGCUGUAAAUCUAGGGCAGACACUGACAGAAGGGGAACAUGCGGGAGCUCAGAAAAAUAAGUUUGACAUUGCACAUAGUAAGGCAGAAACAGAGAAAAAGAUCAGAAGAUAAAUGAAUGCAAGGGUUUUGGGAAACGCCUCUUCAGGGUGAUUCUGUGAUGUUCCUACUGCUACAGGGCAUAUUAACUACUGCAAUUUGUACAAAAAAAAAACCUGACACGAAUGUAUGCAAUGACACAGAGUGGGUUAAAUGUAUUACCAUUAUCCAUUA